AUACGGAGGGUGCAAACGUUGUUCGGAAUCACUGGGCGUAAAGGGCGCGCAGGCGGUUUGAUUAGUCAGAUGUGAAAGCCCACGGCUUAACCGUGGAAGUGCAUUUGAAACUGUCAGACUUGAGUAUCAGAGGGGAAAGUGGAAUUCCCGGUGUAGAGGUGAAAUUCGUAGAUAUCGGGAGGAAUACCGGUGGCGAAGGCGACUUUCUGGCUGAAUACUGACGCUGAGGCGCGAAAGCGUGGGGAGCAAACAGGAUUAGAAACCCCGGUAGUCC
rnacentral:rRNA from 1 species